CCCAAGAGAUCGGGAUAACACCUGGAAACAGAUGCUAAUACCGGAUAACAACAGAUGAUGCCUAUCAACUGUUUAAAAGAUGGUUCUGCUAUCACUCUUGGAUGGACCUGCGGUGCAUUAGCUAGUUGGUAGGGUAACGGCCUACCAAGGCGAUGAUGCAUAGCCGAGUUGAGAGACUGAUCGGCCACAUUGGGACUGAGACACGGCCCAAACUCCUACGGGAGGCAGCAGAG
rnacentral:rRNA from 1 species